rnacentral:rRNA from 1 species
AGCGAACGCUGGCGGCAGGCCUAACACAUGCCAGUCGAACGAACCUUUCGGGGUUAGUGGCGGACGGGUGAGUAACACGUGGGAACGUGCCUUUAGGUUCGGAAUAACUCAGGGAAACUUGUUCUAAUACCGAAUGUGCCCUUCGUGGGAAAGAUUAAUCGCCUUUAGAGCGGCCCGCGUCUGAUUAGCUAGUUGGUUGAGGUAAUGGCUCACCAAGGCGACGAUCAGUAGCUGGUCUGAGAGGAUGAUCAGCCACAUUGGGACUGAGACACGGCCCAAACUCCUACGGGAGGCAGCAGUGGGGAAUCUUGCGCAAUGGGCGAAAGCCUGACGCAGCCAUGCCGCGUGAAUGAUGAAGGUCUUAGGAUUGUAAAAUUCUUUCACCGGGGACGAUAAUGACGGUACCCGGAGAAGAAGCCCCGGCUAACUUCGUG